GCGGGCGUGGUGCAUGGUGCACCGCUGCGAUCAAUUGCAUGAGGUUUCAUUUGUAGAGCAGCUGCUGGGGUUCGACUCCCCGCGUCCGCA